rnacentral:rRNA from 1 species
UACGGAGGGUGCAAGCGUUAUCCGGAUUCACUGGGUUUAAAGGGUGCGUAGGAGGGCAGGUAAGUCAGUGGUGAAAUCUUCGGGCUUAACUCGGAAACUGCCGUUGAUACUAUUUGUCUUGAAUACUGUGGAGGUAAGCGGAAUAUGUCAUGUAGCGGUGAAAUGCUUAGAUAUGACAUGGAACACCAAUUGCGAAGGCAGCUUACUACACAGCUAUUGACGCUGAGGCACGAAAGCGUGGGGAUCAAACAGG